CGGCGGGACGGGGUGGAGUAACGCGUGGGUAACCCGCCUCAUACAGGGGGAUAACAGUUAGAAAUGACUGCUAAUACCGCAUAAGACCACGGUACCGCAUGGUACAGUGGUAAAAACUCCGGUGGUAUGAGAUGGACCCGCGUCUGAUUAGGUAGUUGGUGGGGUAACGGCCUACCAAGCCGACGAUCAGUAGCCGACCUGAGAGGGUGACCGGCCACAUUGGGACUGAGACACGGCCCAG
rnacentral:rRNA from 1 species